UGAAGGGCCUGCUGCUGCAUGAACACUGCUGAUCAGGCAGUCUCCAGCACAUGUUGCAACCAUAAGGAUGUGAUUUUACAAGCAGUUGCUGCAGGAAACAAGGGAGAUGAAGUUGCCACAUAAACAGAAGUGGAUUUGUGCCUUCACAUUCAUAAUGUUGACAGCCUCUUCAACCAGGAAAAAACACAGACUUAUCUCUCUCUCAAAUCCUAAACCUAAAACACAAGGGACCUGAUGACUCACUUGAGGCGUUUUUGGGUUGAUAUUUCUAAGCCAUUAGGAAACCCUUCUGCCAAGUGCCGUGUCGUACAAGAUUACCAAUUUGUGUCAACCAUGGUUUGAGAGGCUUAUCCCUGCAGUAUUUGGUUUUCUAUUUUUUUAGAGACUGCCCAAUGCCCAAUUGUUUAUGUAUUCCAUUAAAGAUAUUAAAUUCAUAUGAAUAAAUUAUUUUCUCUUCUAAUGGUCAA